UGGGGAAUAUUGCACAAUGGGGGAAACCUUGAUGCAGCGCCGCCGCGUGAACGAAGAGGUUAUUCGUAUCGAAAAGUUUUUUCCUUGGGGAAAUUAAUGACAGUACCAUAGAAGAAAGCUCCGCCUAAUUACGUGCCAGCACCGGCGGAAAUACGUAUGGAGCGAGCGUUGUCCGGAAUUAUUGGGCGUAAAGGGUACGCAGGCGGUUUAAUAAGUCGAAUGUUAAAGAUCGGGGCUCAACCCCGUAAAGCAUUGGAAACUGAUAAACUUGAGUAGUGGAGAGGAAAGUGGAAUUCCUAGUGUAGUGGUGAAAUACGUAGAUAUUAGGAGGAAUACCAGUAGCGAAGGCGACUUUCUGGACACAAACUGACGCUGAGGUACGAAAGCGUGGGGAGCAAACAGG
rnacentral:rRNA from 1 species